rnacentral:rRNA from 1 species
AUACGGAGGGUGCAAGCGUUAUCCGGAUUUAUUGGGUUUAAAGGGUGCGCAGGCGGACCUGUCAGUCAGUGGUGAAAUCCCGGGGCUCAACCCCGGAACUGCCAUUGAUACUACAGGUCUUGAAUACGGUUGAAGUAGGCGGAAUGUAGCAUGUAGCGGUGAAAUGCAUAGAUAUGCUACAGAACACCGAUCGCGAAGGCAGCUUACUAAGCCGAUAUUGACGCUCAGGCACGAAAGCGUGGGGAGCGAACAGGAUUAGAUACCCGGGUAGUCC